AGCGGUAACGGGUCCAGCUUGCUGGAUGCCGACGAGCGGCGGACGGGUGAGUAAUGCAUAGGAAUCUGCCCAGUCGUGGGGGAUAACCUGGGGAAACCCAGGCUAAUACCGCAUACGUCCUACGGGAGAAAGCGGGGGCUCUUCGGACCUCGCGCGAUUGGAUGAGCCUAUGUCGGAUUAGCUAGUUGGUGAGGUAACGGCUCACCAAGGCGACGAUCCGUAGCUGGUCUGAGAGGAUGAUCAGCCACACCGGGACUGAGACACGGCCCGGACUCCUACGGGAGGCAGCAGUGGGGAAUAUUGGACAAUGGGCGCAAGCCUGAUCCAGCCAUGCCGCGUGUGUGAAGAAGGCUUUCGGGUUGUAAAGCACUUUCAGUGGGGAAGAAGGCCUGCCGGUCAAUACCCGGCAGGAACGACAUCACCCACAGAAGAAGCACCGGCUAACUCCGUGCCAGCAGCCGCGGUAAUACGGAGGGUGCGAGCGUUAAUCGGAAUUACUGGGCGUAAAGCGCGCGUAGGCGGCUAAGUAAGCCGGUUGUGAAAGCCCCGGGCUCAACCUGGGAAUGGCAUCCGGAACUGUUGAGCUAGAGUGCAGGAGAGGAAGGUAGAAUUCCCGGUGUAGCGGUGAAAUGCGUAGAGAUCGGGAGGAAUACCAGUGGCGAAGGCGGCCUUCUGGACUGACACUGACGCU
rnacentral:rRNA from 1 species